GAGUUUGAUCCUGGCUCAGGAUGAACGCUAGCGGCAGGCCUAACACAUGCAAGUCGAACGGUAACAUAGAAAAGCUUGCUUUUCUGAUGACGAGUGGCGCACGGGUGCGUAACGCGUAUAGAACCUACCCUUUACAGGGGGAUAGCCCGGAGAAAUUCGGAUUAAUACCCCAUAGUACUAAGAAGAGGCAUCUUUUUUUAGUUAAAGUAUUACGGUAAAGGAUGGCUAUGCGUCCUAUUAGUUAGUAGGUGAGGUAACGGCUCACCUAGACUCCGAUAGGUAGGGGCCCUGAGAGGGGGAUCCCCCACACUGGUACUGAGACACGGACCAGACUCCUACGGGAGGCAGCAGUGAGGAAUAUUGGACAAUGGUCGGGAGACUGAUCCAGCCAUGCCGCGUGCAGGAAGACUGCCCUAUGGGUUGUAAACUGCUUUUUUACGGGAAGAAUAAUACCCACGUGUGGGUAGAUGACGGUACCGUACGAAUAAGGACCGGCUAACUCCGUGCCAGCAGCCGCGGUAAUACGGAGGGUCCGAGCGUUAUCCGGAAUUAUUGGGUUUAAAGGGUCCGCAGGCGGGCCAGUAAGUCAGGGGUGAAGGUUUGCGGCUUAACCGUAAAAUUGCCUUUGAUACUGCUGGUCUUGAGUUGCGGUGAAGUGGCCGGAAUAUGUGGUGUAGCGGUGAAAUGCAUAGAUAUCACAUAGAACACCGAUUGCGAAGGCAGGUCACUAACCGCCGACUGACGCUGAUGGACGAAAGCGUGGGGAGCGAACGGGAUUAGAUACCCCGGUAGUCCACGCCGUAAACGAUGGACACUAGCUGUCGGGCCUUUUUGGCUCGGCGGCCCAGCGAAAGUGAUAAGUGUCCCACCUGGGGAGUACGUCGGCACGAUGAAACUCAAAGGAAUUGACGG
rnacentral:rRNA from 1 species